AAAUACCUAGACUUAGACCUAUAAGAGAUCAAAUCCUAGACCUAACCAUCAGAUCACACACAAGAGAAUGAGAAUUUCUCCUCUUUAGAAAAUAAUGAAAAACGGCGCCUCUCUCAUCUUGAAGGAGACGAAGCAGCACCUCUAUCUCCUCUCUUCUUCAGCAAUCUUCAGCAACAGACGAACAGAUUCGUCACCCUCCAUCCCCAAUUUCCCAUAGAAGUGAGACCAUUUCCCUUCUACGACCAAAAUCGAGCAGCCCCAUUCCAAAAGAAAGGAGCAAUAGAGUUUGAAUGAGAUAGUUCUAUGGUUUCUCAGGUUAUUGGGCUAUCAAGGCUACUGUGUUAGGUUCAAGGAAUUUUCUGUGCAAUUUCUUGAUUUUUAAGCUGAAAACUGAGUUCAAAAUUGGCUGCUUUUGCUGGAAUUUGCUGAGCUCCUACCCGCUGGUUUCGUUGCUUUUAUUUGGCUCCCCUUUGCUUUCCAGAUUUAAUCUUUGUACCAUUAGCCUUUGCUUUGGCUUUCGAGUUUCUUUGCGUUUCAGAAGUUAUUGAAGUUAAAGUAUUAUUAAUGUUUGAAAGAAAUCAAAUUUUAAGAACCUGCUAAGGAGAUUUUAAUGGCCUCAAGUUUCUCUCCAGCACUUAAAUAAGCAUACUUGCUAAUAAAUUGACGGAUAGAGAUUAUGUUGCGAGGUGCUUCUUAAUACGGAUUUAUUCCGGAUUCUUUCGACGAUUCAAGGCUCUUUAACCUGUUCGCCCGAUAUUGCUGCCACAAAAAAAACAGUUUUAACCAUUUAUCACAUUGUGAAAGCUCAUGCUCACCACAGAAUUUUUCGGGUUGUAAAAUCAACAAGGAAUGAAACUGCCACAGACAACAACAAAAAUGGCAGAGGGACUUACUGUAGGAUCCAAACUAUCACUCUACAUAUUGUGAUGCUGCUAUUGUCUUUUGGCCACAACUACAGCCUGUAAAAUCCAAUUGCGACAAAAGUCAUCAACUUGAAAAAAUGUACACUUUCACUUGUACGCAUGCAAAUAAGUUGUCUCAGGUGCUAUUGGAUCAUGUUCAGUAUUGUUUGCAAAGUCUCUUUCAAACAUGUUAAGAUUGUCCAUGUCAAGUGGUUAUUCAUUGCACAGCUGGUUCACGUAUUCCAUGCUCGUGUUGUUUCUUAGUACAGCUGGAUUUUGGAUGGCAAGGUAUUUGAUGCUUUAAGUACAACAAUGUUCGUUCUUGAAAUAAUUUCUGUGUUUGUGGGCAUUUCUUUGCUAGCACCAGAUGAAUCAAAAGGAGGUGAAGUGAAGGAUGGUUCUUUAUUUUCAACAACUUCCAAUUUGUCACAGGAUGAGGAGAGGUGUGGAUCUGCUUACCAAGCUUGAGCAUGACAGACGCCCAAGGACCCUCUUAGUCAGGACCGUUGCAUCCAGGAGUUGUUUAAGGAUUUUUUAUUUAUUUAUUUUUUGAAUCAUUUUUUUUUGUCUUGUACUUUAUAGUCAUGUUCAGUAGUACCGAUUCUUUUAGUUGGUGUCAGAGUUUGUCGUAGUAUAGUUGAGUUUGUCAAGUCUCUCGUUAUCGUAUUUCCUGUUUUAUAUUUGAAAACCGAAAAGAAAAAGAGAUAUAAAUGAAAAAUCCAAAAAAAAAUUUAUUUUUUUA